rfam:Gorilla gorilla gorilla genomic chromosome, chr6, whole genome shotgun sequence
ACCAGGUGUGGUGGCACGUGCCUGUAGUCCCUGCUACUCGGGAGGCUGAGGCAGGAAAAUCACUUGAAUCUGGGAGUCAGAGGUUGCAGUAAGCCGAGAUCGUGCCACUGCACUCCAGCCNNNNNNNNNNGUCACCCAGGCUGGAGUGCAGUGGCACGAUCUCGGCUUACUGCAACCUCUGACUCCCAGAUUCAAGUGAUUUUCCUGCCUCAG